CCCAGGAUGGCACAGUGGAUAGCGCAUCUGCCUAAUGGGCAGAAGACCCAGGUUCAAAUCCUGGCCUUGGGU